UUUGCCUACCCGACACCUCCUCCCCCCUCUUCAUCGCCGACUUCUUCCCCAAGCCCUCUCGCCGCGACGCCACUUCUUCCCCCAAACCCUCACCUUGCGACGCCACUCUCUCUAUCCUUCCUGCCCUCUCGCGAGUUCCCGAAUGUCGUCGACCUCUCCUCCUCACGCCAACACCAAAGACGAGCCCCAGCCAUCAGUCUCCUCCCUUCUCACGCGGGAGCACCGCAACAGCCGACGACCUUGCUCCCUCGCACGAGCACCAUAGAUCAAAGCCGUCGAUCCUCUCCUCUCUGAGCCAUGUCCUAACUGACUCAGCAAGUUUCUUCCUCAGUAGAUACGGAUAGAGUUCUAGGUAGCAGGUAGAUGAAUUAUGGAUGCUUGGAGAGUCCCAACUGUCGGUCCCACUUCCCACAUCAUAUCUGAGGACAUUUAUCGAUUUUAUUUCCGUUUUACUUAUAUUUUUAGUAUUCAGCAAUUUUAGUAUUGUAUGAAUUUGACUGUGUUUGGAGUUUGAUUCGUGGUGUUUUGCUAUCGUGAUCUUGUGAUUGUGUAAGCCUAAUUGGCUAGUAAACUUUAGUUGUGGAUUGUGGGUUUUCUCUUCA